AUUGAACGCUGGCGGCAUGCUUUACACAUGCAAGUCGAACGGCAGCGCGGGCUUCGGCCUGGCGGCGAGUGGCGAACGGGUGAGUAAUACAUCGGAACGUGCCCAGUCGUGGGGGAUAGCUCGGCGAAAGCCGGAUUAAUACCGCAUACGACCUGAGGGUGAAAGCGGGGGAUCUUCGGACCUCGCGCUAUUGGAGCGGCCGAUGGCAGAUUAGCUAGUUGGUGGGGUAAAGGCCUACCAAGGCGACGAUCUUUAGCUGGUCUGAGAGGACGACCAGCCAGACGGGCAGUGAGGAAGGGCAGAGACUCCGACGGUGGGCAGCAGUCGGGAAUCUUGGAGGAAGGGGGAGAGGGGAAUCCUGGAAUGCCGCGGGUGUGAUGAAGGCCUUCUGGUUGGUGAGCACUGUAGGCGGUAGCGAAGAAGAGUGUGCUUAUCCGGCGGGAUGAUGACGGUACCCGCAGAAUAAGCACCGGCUAACUACGUG
rnacentral:rRNA from 1 species